UGGGGAAUAUUGCACAAUGGGCGCAAGCCUGAUGCAGCCAUGCCGCGUGUGUGAAGAAGGCCUUCGGGUUGUAAAGCACUUUCAGCGAGGAGGAAGGUGGUGAACUUAAUACGUUCAUCAAUUGACGUUACUCGCAGAAGAAGCACCGGCUAACUCCGUGCCAGCAGCCGCGGUAAUACGGAGGGUGCAAGCGUUAAUCGGAAUUACUGGGCGUAAAGCGCACGCAGGCGGUUUGUUAAGUCAGAUGUGAAAUCCCCGGGCUCAACCUGGGAACUGCAUUUGAAACUGGCAAGCUAGAGUCUCGUAGAGGGGGGUAGAAUUCCAGGUGUAGCGGUGAAAUGCGUAGAGAUCUGGAGGAAUACCGGUGGCGAAGGCGGCCCCCUGGACGAAGACUGACGCUCAGGUGCGAAAGCGUGGGGCAGCAAACAGGAUUAGAUACCCUGGUAGUCCACGCUGUAAACGAUGUCGAUUUGGAGGUUGUGCCCUUGAGGCGUGGCUUCCGGAGCUAACGCGUUAAAUCGACCGCCUGGGGAGUACGGCCGCAAGGUUAAAACU
rnacentral:rRNA from 1 species